CGAGUCGGUGAGGUAACCGCAAGGAGCCAGCCGCCGAAGGUGGGGUAGAUGACUGGGGUGAAGUCGUAACAAGGUAUCCGUACCGGAAGGUGCGGAUGGAUCACCUCCUUUCUAUGGAGA
rnacentral:rRNA from 1 species